rnacentral:rRNA from 1 species
UUAAGCGACUAAGCGUACACGGUGGAUGCCCUGGCAGUCAGAGGCGAUGAAGGACGUGCUAAUCUGCGAUAAGCGUCGGUAAGGUGAUAUGAACCGUUAUAACCGGCGAUUUCCGAAUGGGGAAACCCAGUGUGUUUCGACACACUAUCAUUAACUGAAUCCAUAGGUUAAUGAGGCGAACCGGGGGAACUGAAACAUCUAAGUACCCCGAGGAAAAGAAAUCAACCGAGAUUCCCCCAGUAGCGGCGAGCGAACGGGGAGCAGCCCAGAGCCUGAAUCAGUAUGUGUGUUAGUGGAAGCGUCUGGAAAGGCGCGCGAUACAGGGUGACAGCCCCGUACACAAAAAUGCACAUGCUGUGAGCUCGAUGAGUAGGGCGGGACACGUGGUAUCCUGUCUGAAUAUGGGGGGACCAUCCUCCAAGGCUAAAUACUCCUGACUGACCGAUAGUGAACCAGUACCGUGAGGGAAAGGCGAAAAAGAACCCCGGCGAGGGGAGUGAAAAAGAACCUGAACCGUGUACGUACAAGCAGUGGGAGCACGCUUAGGCGUGUGACUGCGUACCUUUUGUAUAAUGGGUCAGCGACUUAUAUUCUGUAGCAAGGUUAACCGAAUAGGGGAGCCGAAGGGAAACCGAGUCUUAACUGGGCGUUAAGUUGCAGGGUAUAGACCCGAAACCCGGUGAUCUAGCCAUGGGCAGGUUGAAGGUUGGGUAACACUAACUGGAGGACCGAACCGACUAAUGUUGAAAAAUUAGCGGAUGACUUGUGGCUGGGGGUGAAGGGCCAAUCAAACCGGGAGAUAGCUGGUUCUCCCCGAAAGCUAUUUAGGUAGCGCCUCGUGAAUUCAUCUCCGGGGGUAGAGCACUGUUUCGGCAAGGGGGUCAUCCCGACUUACCAACCCGAUGCAAACUGCGAAUACCGGAGAAUGUUAUCACGGGAGACACACGGCGGGUGCUAACGUCCGUCGUGAAGAGGGAAACAACCCAGACCGCCAGCUAAGGUCCCAAAGUCAUGGUUAAGUGGGAAACGAUGUGGGAAGGCCCAGACAGCCAGGAUAUUGGCUUAGAAGCAGCCAUCAUUUAAAGAAAGCGUAAUAGCUCACUGGUCGAGUCGGCCUGCGCGGAAGAUGUAACGGGGCUAAACCAUGCACCGAAGCUGCGGCAGCGACACUAUGUGUUGUUGGGUAGGGGAGCGUUCUGUAAGCCUGUGAAGGUGUGCUGUGAGGCAUGCUGGAGGUAUCAGAAGUGCGAAUGCUGACAUAAGUAACGAUAAAGCGGGUGAAAAGCCCGCUCGCCGGAAGACCAAGGGUUCCUGUCCAACGCUAAUCGGGGCAGGGUGAGUCGACCCCUAAGGCGAGGCCGAAAGGCGUAGUCGAUGGGAAACAGGUUAAUAUUCCUGUACUUGGUGUUACUGCGAAGGGGGGACGGAGAAGGCUAUGUUGGCCGGGCGACGGUUGUCCCGGUUUAAGCGUGUAGGCUGGUUUUCCAGGCAAAUCCGGAAAAUCAAGGCUGAGGCGUGAUGACGAGGCACUACGGUGCUGAAGCAACAAAUGCCCUGCUUCCAGGAAAAGCCUCUAAGCAUCAGGUAACAUCAAAUCGUACCCCAAACCGACACAGGUGGUCAGGUAGAGAAUACCAAGGCGCUUGAGAGAACUCGGGUGAAGGAACUAGGCAAAAUGGUGCCGUAACUUCGGGAGAAGGCACGCUGAUAUGUAGGUGAAGUCCCUUGCGGAUGGAGCUGAAAUCAGUCGAAGAUACCAGCUGGCUGCAACUGUUUAUUAAAAACACAGCACUGUGCAAACACGAAAGUGGACGUAUACGGUGUGACGCCUGCCCGGUGCCGGAAGGUUAAUUGAUGGGGUUAGCCGCAAGGCGAAGCUCUUGAUCGAAGCCCCGGUAAACGGCGGCCGUAACUAUAACGGUCCUAAGGUAGCGAAAUUCCUUGUCGGGUAAGUUCCGACCUGCACGAAUGGCGUAAUGAUGGCCAGGCUGUCUCCACCCGAGACUCAGUGAAAUUGAACUCGCUGUGAAGAUGCAGUGUACCCGCGGCAAGACGGAAAGACCCCGUGAACCUUUACUAUAGCUUGACACUGAACAUUGAGCCUUGAUGUGUAGGAUAGGUGGGAGGCUUUGAAGUGUGGACGCCAGUCUGCAUGGAGCCGACCUUGAAAUACCACCCUUUAAUGUUUGAUGUUCUAACGUUGACCCGUAAUCCGGGUUGCGGACAGUGUCUGGUGGGUAGUUUGACUGGGGCGGUCUCCUCCUAAAGAGUAACGGAGGAGCACGAAGGUUGGCUAAUCCUGGUCGGACAUCAGGAGGUUAGUGCAAUGGCAUAAGCCAGCUUGACUGCGAGCGUGACGGCGCGAGCAGGUGCGAAAGCAGGUCAUAGUGAUCCGGUGGUUCUGAAUGGAAGGGCCAUCGCUCAACGGAUAAAAGGUACUCCGGGGAUAACAGGCUGAUACCGCCCAAGAGUUCAUAUCGACGGCGGUGUUUGGCACCUCGAUGUCGGCUCAUCACAUCCUGGGGCUGAAGUAGGUCCCAAGGGUAUGGCUGUUCGCCAUUUAAAGUGGUACGCGAGCUGGGUUUAGAACGUCGUGAGACAGUUCGGUCCCUAUCUGCCGUGGGCGCUGGAGAACUGAGGGGGGCUGCUCCUAGUACGAGAGGACCGGAGUGGACGCAUCACUGGUGUUCGGGUUGUCAUGCCAAUGGCACUGCCCGGUAGCUAAAUGCGGAAGAGAUAAGUGCUGAAAGCAUCUAAGCACGAAACUUGCCCCGAGAUGAGUUCUCCCUGACUCCUUGAGAGUCCUGAAGGAACGUUGAAGACGACGACGUUGAUAGGCCGGGUGUGUAAGCGCAGCGAUGCGUUGAGCUAACCGGUACUAAUGAACCGUGAGGCUUAACCUU